AUUGAACGCUGGCGGCAUGCUUUACACAUGCAAGUCGGACGGCAGCACAGAGAAGCUUGCUUCUUGGGUGGCGAGUGGCGAACGGGUGAGUAACGCAUCGGAACGUACCGAGUAAUGGGGGAUAACUGUCCGAAAGGACAGCUAAUACCGCAUACGCCCUGAGGGGGAACGCGGGGGAUCUUAGGACCUCGCGUUAUUCGAGCGGCCGAUGUCUGAUUAGCUGGUUGCGGGGUAAAGGCCCACCAAGGCGACGAUCAGUAGCGGGUCUGAGAGGAUGAUCCGCCACACUGGGACUGAGACACGGCCCAGACUCCUACGGGAGGCAGCAGUGGGGAAUUUUGGACAAUGGGCGCAAGCCUGAUCCAGCCAUGCCGCGUGUCUGAAGAAGGCCUUCGGGUUGUAAAGGACUUUUGUCAGGGAAGAAAAGGGGCAUGUUAAUACCGUGCUCUGAUGACGGUACCUGAAGAAUAAGCA
rnacentral:rRNA from 1 species